GACGAACGCUGGCGGCGUGCUUAACACAUGCAAGUCGAACGGUAAGGCUCCAGCUUGCUGGGGUACACGAGUGGCGAACGGGUGAGUAACACGUGGGUGACCUGCCCUGCACUUCGGGAUAAGCCUGGGAAACUGGGUCUAAUACCGGAUAGGACUGCACCGUGAGGGUGUGGUGGAAAGUUUUUUCGGUGUGGGACGGGCCCGCGGCCUAUCAGCUUGUUGGUGGGGUAAUGGCCUACCAAGGCGGCGACGGGUAGCCGGCCUGAGAGGGUGGACGGCCACAUUGGGACUGAGACACGGCCCAGACUCCUACGGGAGGCAGCAGUGGGGAAUAUUGCACAAUGGGCGGAAGCCUGAUGCAGCGACGCCGCGUGGGGGAUGACGGCCUUCGGGUUGUAAACUCCUUUCACCAUCGACGAAGGGUUUCUGACGGUAGAUGGAGAAGAAGCACCGGCUAACUACGUGCCAGCAGCCGCGGUAAUACGUAGGGUGCGAGCGUUGUCCGGAAUUACUGGGCGUAAAGAGCUCGUAGGUGGUUUGUCGCGUCGUCUGUGAAAUUCCGGGGCUUAACUCCGGGCGUGCAGGCGAUACGGGCAUAACUUGAGUACUGUAGGGGAGACUGGAAUUCCUGGUGUAGCGGUGAAAUGCGCAGAUAUCAGGAGGAACACCGGUGGCGAAGGCGGGUCUCUGGGCAGUAACUGACGCUGAGGAGCGAAAGCAUGGGGAGCGAACAGGAUUAGAUACCCUGGUAGUCCAUGCCGUAAACGGUGGGCGCUAGGUGUGGGUUUCCUUCCACGGGAUCCGUGCCGUAGCUAACGCAUUAAGCGCCCCGCCUGGGGAGUACGGCCGCAAGGCUAAAACUCAAAGGAAUUGACGGGGGCCCGCACAAGCGGCGGAGCAUGUGGAUUAAUUCGAUGCAACGCGAAGAACCUUACCUGGGCUUGACAUAUACAGGAUCGCGCCAGAGAUGGUGUUUCCCUUGUGGCUUGUAUACAGGUGGUGCAUGGUUGUCGUCAGCUCGUGUCGUGAGAUGUUGGGUUAAGUCCCGCAACGAGCGCAACCCUUGUCUUAUGUUGCCAGCACGUUGUGGUGGGGACUCGUAAGAAACUGCCGGGGUUAACUCGGAGGAAGGUGGGGAUGACGUCAAAUCAUCAUGCCCCUUAUGUCCAGGGCUUCACACAUGCUACAAUGGUCGGUACAGUGGGUUGCCAGUCCGUGAGGGCGAGCUAAUCCCGCAAAGCCGGUCUCAGUUCGGAUCGGGGUCUGCAACUCGACCCCGUGAAGUCGGAGUCGCUAGUAAUCGCAGAUCAGCAACGCUGCGGUGAAUACGUUCCCGGGCCU
rnacentral:rRNA from 1 species